CAGGAGGCUGAAGCACGAGAAUCGCUUGAACCCAGGAGGCAGAGGUUGCAGUAAGCCAAGACUGCACCACUGCUCUCCAGCCUGGGUGACAGAGUGAGACUCCGUCUCAAAAAAAGAAAAAAAAAAUUUUUUUUUUUGAAUAGGGAAUACUUUCGUGUGUUUCAGACUAAAAAAUUGAUUUUAUAUGUAUUUAUAAUUACACACAUAUACGUAUGCAGUAAAGUUUCAUUUUUACUUGUCCUUCAGCCACCAUUUCCUUUCCUCUUACACACUAAUAUUUUCAGUUUCUUAUUUAUCCUUCCAGUUAUUUUAUGGACAUACCAGUAAAUACACACAUAUAUUAAUAUAUCCAGUAUUUUCCCCAUCUCUUUUUUGCACAACCCCUUAAAUAUACUUAAAAUAAAACAGAACAACAAAUUUUUCGUAAACAAAAUUUAAUACAACCAUAUAGUCAAGUAAUAAUGGUUAAAAGACAUUUUAUUAGAUACAACUUUUAAAAAAUUAAACUAUGCAAGAAGUAUAUUUAAACAAAACAUGUAAGUAAGUAUUCACGUGCUACAACUUAACUAAGAACAAUUAAAUACAAAGCAUUCUUUCCACUAUGAAGACUCUGGAGCCUCUAAUUGAAAGCAAAUGACCUUAGGUCUAUACUAGUUGUAAAGCAGAUUAUACUUUUGUUCAACUCUAAAUUUGUAUUGUCUUAGAGCUCCAACAACUCUCAAUAAAAAUUUAAAUAAAGAAACCUUGGGGGAGGGGUGAUAGGGAAGGGGAGAGUAAGUGCUUUUUCAAAAAGGUAAAUGAAAAAGCCUGAAGAGGGAAAAAAUUGUACAUAAGUAUGGAACAAAAAUAAGUAUACUUUUUUGACAUUCGAUGUAGAUACUGCAAAUGAAUUUACACGGGUUUAAUCAAUGUAAGAUAGAUAAGUUAAUACCCUCCCUGAGUAUUUACAUCAUCUUAUCACCUGGUUUAAAUGGAGUAAAUACCUAUAUUUCAAUCAUCUAGGAAAUAAAAAGGUUACUGAAGAUCCAAUACACUAGUAUUUCAUACCUGUGCAGUAAAGUCAGUGGGAAGAUUACAGUAGAAAAGGAGGAAGUUCUACUGUUGUAAAAAUUAGACCACUUUUGUAGCUGACUCACAUAGAGGAAAAACAGAAAAUGAUUAAAGUUCAUGAAAAAAAAACUAUACUUUUCUGUUCUACAAAGCAUACCUUUGAAUUCCCUUUCCAACUGAGGUAUCACAGCUGGGUUUAGCAAACUCAUCUCUUCUGACCUUGUAAAACUAAAUUGUCAUAAAGAUUCUGAUUAUACAUAAGUCAUCGUUACUAAUACUCAUCAUGUACUUUCAAAUGUAAAAAGUUCUAGAAAUGCCCAAAUAAAAAAAAAUUCCAGAAUUGAAUUUAGCAUGGUCAACUAAUUUUUACUUUAUGUGCUUUUUUGCUGAUCAUCACAGACUGCUAAAAUUCAUGGUGUUUGGUAUAUAUGUGUGUAUACAACCAUACUAUCUACAUACAUACACAUGUACAUAUAUAGAUUCUAAACCAAAGGUUCAUAUGAGCAUCACCUAUCAAAAGAAAAAUCUUUAUGUGAUGAGAGAAUGAAUACAAUCUGACACCAAUUUGGUUGAUAUACCCCUUUUGAUAUAUUAAUUCUACUCUAAAAUUCUUUUUUAUUUUAUCAAGUCUAAUGCUAUUAUUUAUCAAGAAUUAGUAAAGGAAGAUAAAUAUUAAAAAAUUAAAAUAUUAAGUUGGGUAACUUUAAAAAUAGUUAUUUAAAUUUUCUAAGAUUCAACCUAAGUUCUUGGUGGCCUUCAAUAUAAAUUUUAAGUACUUAAUUUAUGUAGUUUUAAAUUAUGUAGAGAAAAAAUUAAUAUUGGUGUGAGGUCUGUGUUUAAAAAAAUUCUGUUUUUCAGGAUUUCAUUUCAAAUUUACUAUAAUAAACACAUGGAUAUUAAAAUAAAUGUAUAACAAAAUAAAAGUAAAUAGUUAAUACUUUUUACAACAGAAAAAUACUAGAAUAUAAAGUUGUCUUGAGAAAGUCUUUUUUUAUGUGAAGUCCUAUAUUCAUGAAAUGGACAUGAUCUUACAAAUACACAUGAAAAUAACAACUAUCAUUUGUAGAAUCCUCAGCAUUUACAAAAUACUUUUUCACACAUUAUCUCAUUUACUGUAAAGAAUUUCUUAACUAAAUAAUUCUAUUAUCUAUAAGAGUAUAAUGCAGAUGUUUACUCUAAAAUUAAAGUACAAGUAUCCAAACUGUACCUACAUUCUUUCAACUAAGAGGAUAGAAAAUUGUUUUCUGAAUUGUUGUUAUCACAAAAUGGUAUCUAUCAUUUUAAAAUUAUGAUUUGAAAAAUAAAAAUUCCCUAAAAAUUUUUAAGUUUUUUAGAGUUUUCCUCAGAAUGUAGAUUCUAGCUAAGCAUUAAAGUUUAAAAAAUGUCUAUCUGAAAUCUCUGAAUCAUUCUAAAAUGAGAAAACAAUGUAGCUUACCAAUGUUAGGCUUUUUAUUUCAACCUUGGUUUUAACAGAAAUCUGGUGACACUUUAAUUACAUAU
rnacentral:lncRNA from 10 species